rnacentral:ncRNA from 1 species
UACCUGGUUGAUCCUGCCAGUAAGCAUUAUGCUUGCCUAAGAUUAUAAGCCAAUGCAUUGUAAGUAUGAAAACAAAAUUCGCAGACUGUUAAACGGCGAAUGGGCUCAUCUAAAUCAGUUAUAUGUUGUUUAAUGGAUCUUGGCUAACUCAAUACACCUGUAGUAAUUCUAGAGAGCUAAU